rnacentral:rRNA from 1 species
UACGGAGGGUGCAAGCGUUGUUCGGAAUUAUUGGGCGUAAAGCGCAUGUAGGCGGCUAUGACAGUCUGAUGUGAAAGCCCGGGGCUUAACCCCGGAAGUGCAUUGGAUACUACAUAGCUAGAGGAUUAGAGAGGAAAGCGGAAUUCUUGGUGUAGGGGUGAAAUCCGUAGAUAUCAAGAGGAACACCGAUGGCGAAGGCAGCUUUCUGGCUAAUAUCUGACGCUGAGAUGCGAAAGCGUGGGUAGCAAACAGG